rnacentral:rRNA from 1 species
GAUGAACGCUGGCGGCGUGCUUAACACAUGCAAGUCGAACGGAAAGGCCCAAGCUUGCUUGGGUGCUCGAGUGGCGAACGGGUGAGUAACACGUGGGUGAUCUGCCCUGCACUUUGGGAUAAGCCUUGGAAACUGGGUCUAAUACCGGAUAGGACCAUCGUCUAGUGUCGGUGGUGGAAAGUUUUUCGGUGUGGGAUGAGCUCGCGGCCUAUCAGCUUGUUGGUGGGGUAAUGGCCUACCAAGGCGUCGACGGGUAGCCGGCCUGAGAGGGUGUACGGCCACAUUGGGACUGAGAUACGGCCCAGACUCCUACGGGAGGCAGCAGUGGGGAAUAUUGCACAAUGGGCGCAAGCCUGAUGCAGCGACGCCGCGUGGGGGAUGACGGCCUUCGGGUUGUAAACUCCUUUCGCCAAGGACGAAGCGUUUUGUGACGGUACUUGGAGAAGAAGCACCGGCUAACUACGUG